rnacentral:lncRNA from 1 species
AUGAUACGGUGGAUGAGCAGAGUUAUACUGAGGUGGCACUAGAUCAUCUCGUUGUAAGGGUGGCUUAUACUGUAGUAGUGAUGAAGAAGGAUCAAGCAGUUCUCUCAUCUCUUCCUUGACUCGCUAGGCAGAGAUGAGUCUCUCCAGUAUCUCAAAGAGUCGAUCGACAUUUUCUAGAAGUGACCCAUCCUGGGCUACUCUGUUCAAUGGGGGCUUCCUCUCCUCAUGUCCUUGUGCCUGCAUUUCACAACAAAGGGUUGAGAGUUGGGUUGUAUUACGUGGUUCUAAUCUUUUGUGCAAUGAAUGGUUCCAAGGAACGUAGCUCUGAUACCAACUAUAACAGCCCUAAAAUUUAUUUAAAUGAAAAUAUUGAAUUAAUGAAAUAUAAGCGGAAGCAUU